GUAGAUGUAGCUCAGUUGGUUAGAGCAUCUGACUGUUAAUCAGAAUGUCGCAGGUUCGAUUCCUGCCAUCUACG
rnacentral:tRNA from 1 species